ensembl:lncRNA
AACACCCUCAACUACACCAACAUCUACACCUUCUCCAUCUCCAACACCCUCAACUACACCAACAUCUACACCUUCUCCAUUUCCAACAAGCUCAACCCCACGAACAUCUCCACCUUCUCCACCUCCAACAAUCUCAACAACACCUCCAACAACCUCAACUACAACAAUUAAAAUGACCUCCACAACAGCUGCUCCAACUUCAACUAAAAUGCCGACAAGUACUACAGCUCCUCCUACAAGUACAACUAGAAUGACAUCCACAACAGCUGCUAUAACUUCAACAAAAAUGUCUACCAGUACUACAGUUCCUACUAGAAGUACAAUUAAAAUGACCUCCACAACACCUACUCCAACUUCAACUAUAACAUCUACAAGUACUUCAGGACCUCCAACUAGUACAACUAGAAUUUUAUCCACAAAAACAGCUCCAACUUCAACAAAAAUGUCUACCAGUACUACAGCUCCUCCUACAAGUACAACUAGAAUGACCUCCACAACAACAGGUCCACCUUCAACUACAAUGUCUACAAGUACUCCAACUCCUCCUGGAAGUACAACUAGAGUGACCUCCACAACAGCUGCUCCAAUUUCAACUACAAUUACGACAAGUACUACAGCUGCUCCUACAAGUACAACUAGAAUUACCUCCACAACAGCUCCAACUUCAACUACAACAUCUACAAGUACUACAGCUGCUCCAACAAGUACAACUAGAAUGACCUCCACAACAGCUGCUCCAACUUCAACUAAAAUGUCUACCAGUACUACAGUUCCUACUAGAAGUACAAUUAAAAUGACCUCCACAACACCUACUCCAACUUCAACUAUAACAUCUACAAGUACUUCAGGACCUCCAACUAGUACAACUAGAAUUUUAUCCACAAAAACAGCUCCAACUUCAACAAAAAUGUCUACCAGUACUACAGCUCCUCCUACAAGUACAACUAGAAUGACCUCGACAACAAAUGCUCCAACUUCAACUAAAACGUCUACAAGUACUACAGCUCUUCCUACAAUUACAACUAGACUAACCUCCACAACAGCAGCUACAACUUCAACUACAACGCCUAGAAGUACUACAGCUGCUCCAACAAGUACAACUAGAAUGACCUCCACGACAGCUGCUCCAACUUCAACUACAAUGUCUACCAGUACUACAGCUCCUCCUACAAGUACAAGUAAAAUGACCUCCACAACAGCUGCUCCAACUUCAAGUAGAACAUCUACAAGUAUUACAGUUCCCUCUACAAGUAAAACUAGACUGACUUCCACAAAAGUUGCUCCGACCUCAACUACAAAAUCUACAAGUACUACAGCUCCUCCUACAAGUACAACUAGAAUGACCUACAAAACAGCUGCUCCAGCUUCUACUACAAAGUCUAAAAGUACUACAGCCUCUCCUACAAGUACAAAUAGAAUGACAUCCACAACAUCUCUAACUUCAACAAAAACUUUUACAAGUACUACAGCUCCUCCUAAAAGUACAAUUAGAAUGAUGACAACAGCUACUCCAACUUUAACCACAACAGCUGCAAGUACUAGAGCUCCUCCUACAAGUACAAGUAGACUUCAAUUCGAUUCAAUUCAACUGACCUCCACAGUUGCUCCAACUUCAACUACAACGUCUACAAGUACUACAGCUCCUCCUACAAGUACAACUAGAAUGACCUACACAACAGCUCCAACUUCAACUACAAUGUCUACAAGCACUACAGCUCCUCCUACAAGUACAACUAAAAUUACCUCCACAACAACUCCAACUUUGACUACAAUGUCUACAAGUACAAAAGCACCUCCAACAAGUAUAACUAGAGUGACCUCCACAACAGCUGCUCCAACUUCAACUACAAUAUCUACAAGUACUACAGCUUCUCCUACAAGUACAACUAGAAUGACCUCCACAGCAAUUGCUCCAACUUCAAGUACAACGUCUACAAGUACUACAACUGCCCCUACAAGUACAACUAGAAUGACCUCCACAACAGCUCCAACUUCAACUACAACGUCUACAAGUACUACAACUGCUCCUACAAGUACUACAAAGAUGACAUCCGCAACAGCUGCAACUUCAACUGCAAUGUCUUCAAGUACUACAGCUCCUCCUACAACUACAACUAGAUUGACCUCCACAACAGCUCCAACUUCAACUACAACUUCUGCAAGUACUACAGCCCCGUCUACAAGUACAAUUAGAAUGUCCUACACAACAGCUGCUCCAACUUCAACUACAACGUCUACAAGUACUACAGCUCCUCCUACAAGUACAACUAGAAUGACCUCCACAACAACUCCUUCAACUACAAUGUCUACAAGUACUACAACUGCUGCUACAAGUACAACUAGAAUGACCUCCACAACAACUCCAACUUCAACUACAAUGUCAACAAGUACUACAGCUCCUCCUAAAAGUACAACUAGAUUGACCUCCACAACAGCUCCAACUUCAACUACAAGGUCUACAAGUACUACAGCUCCUCCUACAACUACAACUAGAUUGACCUCCACAACAGCUCCAACUUCAAUUACAACUUCUGCAAGUACUACAACUCCUCUUACAAGUACAGCUAAAAUAACCUCCACAACAGCUCCAACUUCAAGUACAACGUCUACAAGUACUACAGUACCUCCUACAAGUACAAGUAGAAAGGCCUCCACAACAGCUCCAACUUCAACUGCAAUGUCUACAAGUACUACAGCUCCUCCUACAAGUACAACGAGAAUGACCUCCACAACAGCUCCAACUUCAACUACAACUUCUGCAAGCACUACAACUCCUCUUACAAGUACAACUAAAAUAACUUCCAGAACGGCUCCAACUUCAACUACAACUUCUGCAAGACCUACAGCUCCUCCUACAAGUACAACUAGAAUGACCUCCACAACAGCUGCUCCGACUUUAACCACGAUGCCUGCAAGUACUACAUCUCCUCCUACAAGUACAACUAGAAUGACCUCCACAGCAAUUGCACCAACUUCAACUACAACGUCUACAAGUACUACAGCUCCUCCUACAAGUACAAGUAGAAAGGCUUCCACAACAGCUCCAACUUCAACUGCAAUGUCUACAAGUACUACAGCUCCUCCUACAAGUACAACUAGAAUGACCUCCACAACAGCUGCUCCGACUCCAACCACAAUGCCUUCAAGUACUACAGCUGCUCCUACAAGUACAACUAGAAUGUCCUCCA